GGAGGCCGGAGCACGCAUGCGUGUGAGCUGAGCCGCCAGGGUGCGUAUGACGUCACGGGCGCGCCAGCCUAAAUUCUUCCUAGUUUUCUUUCAAAGAUCGCGGCACAAGUUCUCAACUUCCCUAGUUGAAUUUGAUUCAGACAACACUGCGAAGCAGAAGUGAUAUGCCACUUGAGUUAAUAAAGGAAGUCAACGGGGUGCCUGAAGUUCAGCGGCUAAGUAAAUUUCAGAAAGUAGAUUUCAAAUCCUUACAACCAGGUUGUGAUUAUAGCAAGAAAUAUAUCCAGGGAGAACUUUCACUUAUCUCUUCUUUAACCUAUCGUAGAAAUGGAACAGCUGUUUUGAAAAUUGGGCUACAAG